UACGAAGGGGGCUAGCGUUGCUCGGAAUCACUGGGCGUAAAGCGCACGUAGGCGGAUUGUUAAGUCAGGGGUGAAAUCCUGGAGCUCAACUCCAGAACUGCCUUUGAUACUGGCGAUCUCGAGUCCGGGAGAGGUGAGUGGAACUGCGAGUGUAGAGGUGAAAUUCGUAGAUAUUCGCAAGAACACCAGUGGCGAAGGCGGCUCACUGGCCCGGUUCUGACGCUGAGGCGCGAAAGCGUGGGGAGCAAACAGG
rnacentral:rRNA from 1 species